GCUGUAGCUCAGAGGCAGAGUGUCUGCCCUGCAUGCAGGAGGUCCUAAGUUCAACUCCCAACAUCUCCA